rnacentral:rRNA from 1 species
AUUGAACGCUGGCGGCAGGCCUAACACAUGCAAGUCGAGCGGAUGAAGGGAGCUUGCUCCUGGAUUCAGCGGCGGACGGGUGAGUAAUGCCUAGGAAUCUGCCUGGUAGUGGGGGAUAACGUCCGGAAACGGGCGCUAAUACCGCAUACGUCCUGAGGGAGAAAGUGGGGGAUCUUCGGACCUCACGCUAUCAGAUGAGCCUAGGUCGGAUUAGCUAGUUGGUGGGGUAAAGGCCUACCAAGGCGACGAUCCGUAACUGGUCUGAGAGGAUGAUCAGUCACGAUGAGACGGAGCCAUGGCCCAGACUCGAAGGGGAGGCAGCGGUGAGGAAUCGUGCAUAAUGGGAAUCAGCCUGCUCCAGCGAUGCGGGUUGUGUGAAGAACGUCUAGGUGAUGAAAAGUACUUUGUGCUGGGAGGAAGGCAAGUAAGUUAAUCCCGGGUUUUUUAGACGUACACAACAGAAUACGCACCGGCUAACUGCGUGCCAGCAGCCGCUUAAUAAUCGAAGAGCAAACGUGCGACC